GCGCUGGAGAAUUGAGGGGGGCUGCUCCUAGUACGAGAGGACCGGAGUGGACGCAUCACUGGUGUUCGGGUUGUCAUGCCAAUGGCACUGCCCGGUAGCUAAAUGCGGAAGAGAUAAGUGCUGAAAGCAUCUAAGCACGAAACUUGCCCCGAGAUGAGUUCUCCCUGAGACUUUAAGUCUCCUGAAGGAACGUUGAAGACGACGACGUUGAUAGGCCGGGUGUGUAAGCGCAGCGAUGCGUUGAGCUAACCGGUACUAAUGAACCGUGAGGCUUAACCUUACAACGCCGAAG
rnacentral:rRNA from 1 species